CAUGCACUGUGACCAUGGACAUAAUAAAGGAUGGACCACAGACUGGAAAAUGGCCGCCCAUUCAUUCCUAUACAAACUGCUCAGUGGCGCAGGGUAACAUACAGGAGCGAUUUGCUUAUGUCUAUGGCCAAGACACGUGACCUAGUCCGUGACGUACCGGAUGCAGAGAUCUUCUUCUUCUUCUAGUUUAGUGGCGGAUCAUAGGCUGUGUCCCAAUUCCUAGGACGCAUCCUUCGAAGGCUGCAUUCGAAGGAUGCGUCGACGCAGAUUGCGUCACAGCGACGCGCCAAGUGCUGUCCCAAUUCCAAGGGUCCUUCAAAUGCGGCCUACGAAUGCAGCCUUCUUUUCCCGGAUUUGAAGGAUGCAUCGGCUGUAUCCUUCACGGCCCAACGUAUCCCAAGAUCCUUCACGGCCCAACGUAUCCCUCCCAAGAUUCAUUGCACACUCAAUCAAUGGAGAUGGCGGAGAAUGGCGAUUUAAUUUCUGUAUUUAAAUGACAAUUCUGGAGGAAAUAGGCCUGCAGGGGAAGGUGACUCCCCCGCAGGCAAAGAAAAACUUAUGCUGAAAUUUGUUUUGAUACUGCUCUUGUUAACUGCCAUGAUUGGCCACUUGGCCCUGGUUUGUCCCCAUGGAUAAGGUAUUGGAUUGGGACAGAGGCAUUCCACCAACCCCCCUGUCCUAAUUGCAUCCAUCCCUGAGAACACACCAGGGCCAAGUACAGCAAGUACAGCAGUGGUGGAUCAGGAGGUGGAGGACAAGGAUCAGGAGGAGGAAAGACAGCGAGGGCCAAGGUCCAGAAAGAGGGACAGAGAAGAAAACAUGUUCCAGAGUCGCUCACUAUCUUCCGAAAAGGACUCAAGAUUCACCUGUUCAGAGUCCACCUCGACUGCAUAGCCACCCUCCCCCUUCUGGCCACCAUUGUACACUGUGUUGUAUUGUAUUGUAUUGUAUUAUAGUACUUAACUGUGUAGCAACUGCAGUAGGCUGCUAUCAUGGCUGUAACACGGGGAAUGGGUUAGCCUAGCGAUUGUGGUACUUGGUUCUAUGAACAUCCUUUCUGUACCGACAGCGAUAUAUUGAUGCACUUCUUAUGACAAAUGUACUUAUUGUAAGUCGCUUUGGAUAAAAGCGUCUGCUAAAUGCCCUAAAUGUAAAAUGUAAAUGUUCCAGUUAAUAAAAGAGGACAUGAGGCUACAAAGGGAGGCAGAGGAGAGGAAAGCAGGGAAAGAAUGGAUAGGUUUUUCUCAAUUAAUAAAAUAUAUUAUUAAUUGAGUAUAAAAAUAUAAAAUAUAUAUACUUAAGGUUAAAUUCUUCUAAUUAGGUUAGUAUCUCUUAGCUAAUUUAUCAGCAAUUUCAUUGCCAUAUAUUCCAUGGUGGGCUGGAAUCCAACAGAACUGAAUAACUAAACCAAGGCUUAAAUUUUUAAAAGAAGACGCUUUACCUCUAUCACCAAAUCUUCGCGUAUUGAAUUAUCUGUUAUAAAACUUAUCUACAACCCAUCUAAGAGCGGUUAUUAUUGUGGCCAUCUCGAUUGAGUAUACUGAUAAAGUCACCCACUCUAUAUCCAUAUCCUUUUUCAAAUUCUGGAAUAUAUAUGCCAAUACCACAUUGACACCAUUCUAUUCUAUGAUAGCUGAUAACCAAGGUACACACUGUAAUACUAUAAUCAAGAGGACAUACAGGCAGUUCAAAUAAAAAGAGAUAGAACUUUAUUGAUCUGGAAACUUCAUAAAUAUGUAAGAUUGCUCCAUAUAAUACCAUAGUAACAUAGUAAAUGUAUGUAGGCCUAAAAAAAUCAUUUCAAUGUAAUUGCUUAAGAAACAGAUUCCUUCAAACUAACUAUUUACGAAAAAUGCAAUCAAUAAUUUAUAUGAAAGUAAAUGUUUACAUAUCGACCAGCAACGAAGUUGGAGUAGCCUACCCAAAUAAUGAAUUGUAAUACACCAACAUUGUCAACUGUCAUACAUAGCUAACCAUAACCCUGUCAUACAUAGCUAAACAAGCAAAUGAAAAUGAAAUACCUACCAACGCAACUGAAAUGUUAAUAUUAGACAAUUAACAAUACUAUGAAAAUUACGUAGGUCUCCCAUAAUCAUUCAGGUAAUCAAUACGUCCGUGCCUGUUACAGCUAUUUCAAUGAUAUGUGUGUUAUAUAUCCGUGUUCAACGCCAUUCAUGUUAAGUAAAAGGAGAAAUCUCAGACUUUGGAAGUUAAUUCGGAAUUUAAUUUAAUUCGGAAGUUAAUGGAGCCGUGCACUUCAAAAUAGGUCCAUAGCAAGGAGCCGUUUGUUUCAGUACGACUCCUUUCAGCUGCCCACCCAACAUAAACUGCUAAUAAAACGCUUGAGGAGGCGUUUUGAAAAGAAAAACUUACAUUUUUUUAGAACAGGGUAGAAAUAUAAUUAUGAGCAUUUGAUUGAUAUCCAGACAUUUUUUGCGGAGACACAAUCCUGUUCCCCACUUGUAUUGGAGUGGACGGCGAUAUCUACUUCUGGGCCACAUGAAAUGACGGACCCCCGUCCACAGCCAGCUUAAACAGCUGCAAUACCAGGCUUGGCCUCUGAGCACUGGUGGAUUGCGGAAGUAUGCGUAUCCUGGGGGCCUGACUGUGACCCGUUUCUCAAUUCCUAGCACGCGUACUACGGACUCGAUGACUUGCAAGCACGUACUUGGCAAGUCCGUACUUCAAGCACAGACUUGCGAGCACGCGAUUACGUACCUGCAAUUGGAACAGCAGCGGACUCGAUGACGUCAC
ensembl:lncRNA